GUAAGUAUUUAUUAAAAUAUAUUAUAAUUAAUAGUUAUUAAAUUUUCUUUUCUUUUCAGGAAUGCUGGUAAAACUGUAUCGUUUCAACCUAAUUGGAUUAUCUUUACUAAUUUGUUUCUUUUCUUCUUUUUUUUCAGGUAUUUGAGUUUGGGAAAGGUUGUGGCUUAACUCCACCACAUGACUUUUAGACCAUUCCCAGGUUGGUGUUUCCACUGCGAGCUGACCACUCGCAUACUCUCCUGGUGGAACCCUUAUCAAAUAGGCCACUGAGCCAAUAAAUAUCUGUAGAUAGAAACUAACAUCAAACCAAAACAAAAAAAAUACUAACAUUAGAAUUAACCCAAAAAUUUUCCUCAUAAUAGGGUACGGCCACGAUCAAGGCAGUCAGAACUGCUGGCCAACUGGGAUAGUACCCCCCCACGCAAAAUUUUUCUUUAAUCCCCAUAGGCGUAAUGUCAAGUGGAUUUUGCUAAAGGGCACUGCAACAAAACUCCGGGCUUAGCAAGCCAACGUAGAUAAGAACGGUGUGCAAGUGCCAUACGAAAUGCUCAGUCAACGUGGGGAACUCCCACACCCUGAGUCUCAUCAGCCGGGCCUACAUUUAUAAAUUUUCAUACAAAUAAAUCUAAUGUUCGCUGUAGACAUACUAAUUGAUUGUUAUUUUCAUUAUUUUAUUUUCAGAUUCGGUAUUGAUUGGCUGGUUUUAAUAAUAAUUAUGGUUUACUUUCAAUAGGUAUAUGCUGAACAACAGAUUCUAUUUGUUUUAGGGAAGUCUUUGAGGUUAUAAAAUUUACAAUCAUGAAGUUACUUGGUGUUUUGUUUUUCCAUUUAUAGAUUUCAAUUGCAUUGUGCCUUUCUUGAAGCCCAAACAAAUUAAUACUGGUCUUUAUUGCACGAAGUUCUCAACUCUAUGGUCCAGCAUUAUUCUCCUUUCUCGACGGACAAUUUGCAGGAUGAUUAGCAGGGAAUUGGAAAUUAAAACCAGGAAGAUUGGGUGUACGAGUUGAAUAACGAUCAGGCAUCAACAUUAUGAACAUUUCCUACAUUGCGAAUGCGGUUGUUGUUGUUGGGAAAAUUAUUGGGAGUACUUCCCGUUUGAUUUGAGGCAACCACACGGGACAGAUUCUCUACAGCCUUGGCUAAAUCACCGAUGUUCUUUUUAAUAUCUACCAUCUCGUCCUGCACCAUUUUGCGGACUUUAUCUUCUAGAGAUCUUUGUACCAUCAUGGCUUCAUCUACCACCAAGUUUCUGACACCUGGUGCUAACCCCUCAUCAUUGCCUUCACAACUAACUACCGGAUUUGACACUACUGCUUCCCCCGGGGCUCCUGCUAUUAUCGUCCCAGAAAGGUCAGUAAUCUGGGACACAACAUUGCUCCCAUUGGAAUUUGGAUUACCUGAUAUAUUCAUUCUGUACGUUCUUCUUUGUUUAGGUUCUGUAUGGAUUGUGGAUCUAUUCAAAUCAAAAUCUGGAUUUCUAUUUCGUUUUCUAUUUUUUUGUAUUGCGAUUGAUGUACUUGCUUCUAUUUCACUUUGCCUAUUGUAUUUUCUAGUUUGAUUUCUAGUAUUAACAUUCAUACCUUUAACAUCUAAUCAUACACAAAAUUUACUAGACUAUUCACUAACGCUAAAAAAUAUAAACAAAUAUUGUAUAGGAUUUUAAAAAAUAACGAUAUGUAUGUAUACGAAAAACUAACAAACAAAAUUCAAACAAUUUUGCAAAAGCAAUAAUUUAAAAAAUA